GGGGUUGUGGCUCAGCGGUAGAGCGCUCGCCUAGCACGUGUGAGGGGGUUCGAUCCUCAGCACCA
rnacentral:tRNA from 1 species